rnacentral:lncRNA from 1 species
GGUGGUUGAAGGACAAGGACUCUCCCUCUCCCUCUCUUCUUCCUUACAACACCUCGAAGCAGCCAAGGCCGAGGAAUUGCGUAUUGGAGACGCCGGAGUCUUUUAUUACAAUCAACCACCCCAGGCCGUAGCAUCGUCGUCCUCCCCAGCCGCCCAAUAUUACAGGCAACAACAGGCAUUGCAGCAGCAGCAGAACAAUCAGGUCCAUGUCGGGUUCGGGUCCGGGUUAGGG